AUGUCCCUGUAGAGUGGAAGAAAGUCAACAGACCUCCAUACUCUGCACUGGGCAGUAACAUGAAGAAGUUGGAGAACUGUACCUAUGCGGUGGAACUGGGUCGGAAUAAAGCUCGAUUCUCAUUGGUGGGAAUUGGAGGAGUGAAUCUGAAUGAAGGAAGUCCCAUGCCCACACUGGCUCUGGUCUGGCAGCUGAUGAGGAGGUACACUCCAGGUGUUGUCUGAUCUAGGAGAUGGGGAGAAGAUUGGAGACCAGAUCAUAAUCAACUGGGUCAACACUCAGCUCAAAGAGGGACACAAGGACUCACAGAU